rnacentral:rRNA from 1 species
GGCACUUUUUAAAUCCAUAUCCACCUUGUGUGCAAUGUCGGUCGAUCUUUCUUCUUGGAAGAUCAGCCAAACAUCAACUUAUUUUUUUAACUCUUUGUCUGAAAAAUAUUAUGAAUAAACAAUUCAAAAUACAACUUUCAACAACGGAUCUCUUGGCUCUCGCAUCGAUGAAGAACGCAGCGAAAUGCGAUACGUAAUGUGAAUUGCAGAAUUCAGUGAAUCAUCGAAUCUUUGAACGCAUAUUGCGCUCUUUGGUAUUCCGAAGAGCAUGCUUGUUUGAGUAUCAGUAAACACCUCAAAGCUUUUGAUUUAUUUUGAAGGCUUUGGACUUGAGCGAUCCCAACACCAAUCUUUUAAGAUCGGCGGCGGGUUGCUUGAAAUGCAGGUGCAGCUGGACAUUCUCCUGAGCUAAAAGCAUAUUUAUUUAGUCCCGUCAAACGGAUUAUUACUUUUGCUGCAGCUAAUAUAAAGGGAGUUCGGCCGUUUUGGCUGACUGAUGCAGGAUUUCACAAGGGUCGGCAACGAUUCUUGUUAAACUCGAUCUCAAAUCAAGUAAGACUACCCGCUGAACUUAAGCAUAUCAAUAAGCGGAGGAAAAGAAACUAACAAGGAUUCCCCUAGUAACGGCGAGUGAAGCGGGAUGAGCUCAAAUUUAAAAUCUGGCUGGUUUACUAGUCCGAAUUGUAGUUUAUAGAAGCGUUUUCGGUGGCAGCCUGGGUAUAAAUCCUUUGGAAUAGGGUAUCAUAGAGGGUGAGAAUCCCGUCUUUGACUCAGUGCAUGCUACUAUGUGAUACGUUUUCAAAGAGUCGAGUUGUUUGGGAAUGCAGCUCAAAAUGGGUGGUAAAUUUCAUCUAAGGCUAAAUAUUGGCGAGAGACCGAUAGCGAACAAGUACCGUGAGGGAAAGAUGAAAAGAACUUUGAAAAGAGAGUUAAACAGUGCGUGAAAUUGUUGAAAGGGAAACGCUUG